GAUGAACGCUGGCGGCGUGCUUAACACAUGCAAGUCGAACGGAAAGGCCCAAGCUUGCUUGGUUACUCGAGUGGCGAACGGGUGAGUAACACGUGGGUGAUCUGCCCUGCACUUCGGGAUAAGCCUGGGAAACUGGGUCUAAUACCGGAUAGGACCACAUUUUGGAUGGUGUGGUGGAAAGUUUUUCGGUGUUGGAUGAGCUCGCGGCCUAUCAGCUUGUUGGUGGGGUAAUGGCCGACCAAGGCGUCGACGGGUAGCCGGCCUGAGAGGGGGUACGGCCACAUUGGGACUAAGAUACGGACCAGACUCCUACGGGAGGCAGCAGGGGGGAAUAUUGCACAGUGGGGGCAAGCCUGAUGCAGCGACGCCGCGUGGGGGAUGACGGCCUUCGGGUUGUAAACUCCUUUCGCUAGAGACGAAGCGUUAUGUGACGGUACCAGGAGAAGAAGCACCGGCUAACUACGU
rnacentral:rRNA from 1 species